rnacentral:rRNA from 1 species
UGGACCUCAGAUCAGGCAAGAUCACCCGCUGAAUUUAAGCAUAUCACUAAGCGGAGGA